UACGGAGGGUGCGAGCGUUGUUCGGAAUUACUGGGCGUAAAGCGCGUGUAGGCGGUUGGGCAAGUCAGAUGUGAAAGCCUUCUGCUUAACAGAAGAAGUGCAUUUGAAACUACCCGGCUAGAGUACGAGAGAGGAGAGUGGAAUUCCCGGUGUAGAGGUGAAAUUCGUAGAUAUCGGGAGGAACACCAGUGGCGAAGGCGGCUCUCUGGCUCGAUACUGACGCUGAGACGCGAAAGCGUGGGGAGCAAACAGG
rnacentral:rRNA from 1 species